rnacentral:rRNA from 1 species
UACGGAAGGGGCAAGCGUUGUUCGGAAUCAUUGGGCGUAAAGGGCGCGUAGGUGGUUUUGUAUGUCUACCGUGAAAGCAUACAGCUCAACUGUAUUUUGUCGGUAGAAACUGCAGGACUUGAGGCUGGGAGGGGCUGGUGGAAUUCCCUGUGUAGCGGUGAAAUGCGUAGAGAUGGGGGAGAACACCGAUGGCGAAGGCAGUUCUCUGGGACGGUACUGACGCUGAGACGCGAAAGCGUGGGGAGCGAACAGG